rnacentral:misc_RNA from 1 species
GAGUAUCAUGCCCUCACGGGUAGAUCUCCACCCUUGAAUAACAUACCUUUGUUGCUUUGGCAGGACGCACUCGUGCCAGGGGCUUCGGCUCCUGAGUGCCUGCCAGAGGACCACAACUCUUGUUUUUAGUGAUAUCUGAGUAAUAAACUUAAAUAAGUCAAAACUUUCAGCAACGGAUCUCUUGGUUCU